CGAAAUGCGAUAAGUAAUGUGAAUUGCAGAAUUCAGUGAAUCAUCGAAUCUUUGAACGCACCUUGCGCUCCUUGGUAUUCCUUGGAGCAUGCCUGUUUGAGUAUCAUGAAAUCUUCAAAGUAAAUCUUUUGUUAACUCAAUUGGUUUCUACUUUGGUAUUGGAGGUCUUUGCAGCUUCACACCUGCUCCUCUUUGUUCAUUAGCUGGAUCUCAGUGUUAUGCUUGGUUCCACUCGGCGUGAUAAGUUAUCUAUCGCUGAGGACACUGUAAAAGGUGGCCAAGGUAAAUGCAGAUGAACCGCUUCUAAUAGUCCAUUGACUUGGACAAUACUUUUAUGAUCUGAUCUCAAAUCAGGUAGGACUACCCUCUGAACUUAA
rnacentral:misc_RNA from 1 species